rnacentral:lncRNA from 1 species
UCUUUUUAGGAUGAGAAGGCUGGUUGUCUAAUCUUUGAGCAGGUGGCCAUACGUAGGUUUCGAGAUGGACUACACAGUCUAUGAUAGUCCACCAUCAAGCAUUUCGAUUCUCAGUCACUAUCGAACUAAAAGUCCUAUAGGGAUCAUUAGAUGCAGGCAGAUGUAUGGGAGUCCCUCUAUGAUUAGUGGAGUAGCGAGAAGUACAUCGAUAGGUGCUAAAGGGCCCGACAAAAUUGAGCCACCCAG